rnacentral:lncRNA from 1 species
CGGAAAUUGUAAUUCUAAUAUGAGAUAAAAAAAAUAAUAAAUAAGAAUAAAAAGUUACUUUAACAUGCAUAUGCAUGUGCAUACGCUUAUAACUGGAUCAAUAUGAUUAUCAUUUCGAUUUGUAUUGGCAAAUAGUUAACUAACUACGCACAUAUUAUACAAAUUCAUUCAGGAAGUACAAGUUUAUAGCCUACCAUGGUUUACAUAAAUUAAGUAGUCUCAUAAGGUCACAAUGAAUAUUUUACACUCUGCAGUAUUUGUUACACUAGUUUUUGCAUGUGCAAAUUUUCCUGUGACUUACGGUAAGUCAGUCUUUAUUGCAUUUAUUUACUGGUAUAGUAAAUACUUUGUUUAUGUAUUUUUUUGGGGAAAAGGGGGGUGUUCUGUUGGGCGUAUGAUAUUUUCGCCGAUUUUUAAAAUUGUCAAUCUUUUAUUUGCGCCGAUUUCAUUUUUUCAUUUGCGCCGAUUUUAUAUUUUCUAUUAAUUGCACAGUUUGACACAGAUGAGUAAAUACUUGUACAUGUACUAUACCUCAAGUCCUAUAAUAUGUGACUUUGGAGUUUCAUAUCAUUUACAUUCAAUUUAUCAUAAUUUUUUUGCUAUCAGGGUUUCAACAUUGACAGUAAAAACAACUCCAAAGUCAUAUUAUAGGACUAACUAGACCUCAUACCACAUCUUCUUAUAUCUACUUUUAAAAAGGUAUAUUAGUAAAAUCUGGUUAUAAACGGUGAUCACUUACGUUUAAUUUUAUUGUAAAACGAUGGACAUAUUGCACACUGAAACGAGCCGAGGAGUGUCAAAAUCGGCGAAAAUGAAAUGCUUAUCGGUACAAAUGCUAAACACCGGUUCUGUUGAGUUGAGUGGGGAGGGUUGGCUGUUGAGUUGGGGGAGGAUGGGGGGGCAAUUUAAACAAGAUUAUUUUUUAGCAUGUCUUUUGUCAGACAGAAAAGCUUCUCUCGAGAAAAGUGACUUGCUUUAUAUAGAUAUUUUUCUCUCAUUGAAUUGAGGUAUUGUCAUCUUCCAUUUCUUAAAUUGUGUAGUUCUUGGUUUAUUUGAUGGAUAUGAUACAUGGAUGAAUAGAACGUUUCGAGUCUCAGGCCUUGUCUACUUGUUCAUAGUAAAUUAAUUAAAUUAAUUAGCAAUUCUGAUAUCAACUGAAUAUAAUUCAUUUCAUUUUCAAUAAAUAGGAAAGCUGGUAUCGAUCCAAGAUGAUGUUCUUCGUGCAUUAUUGGUGAUGAAUAGGUCAUGUGACACUGGUAAUUAUUCAUAUCUAACUUAUUGUUUAAUAGCAAACAAAUCAGACAG